rnacentral:rRNA from 1 species
GACCUCAAAUCGGGUGGGACUACCCGCUGAACUUAAGCAUAUCAAUAAGCGGAGGAAAAGAAACUAACAAGGAUUCCCCUAGUAACGGCGAGUGAAGAGGGAAAAGCUCAAAUUUUGAAUCUGGUGUCUUUGACUCCCGAGUUGUAAUCUAGAGAAGUGUUUUCCGUGUCGGACCGUGCACAAGUUCCCUGGAACGGGGCGUCAUAGAGGGUGAGAAUCCCGUAUAUGGCAUGGACUACCGAUGCUUUUGUGAUACACUCUCAACGAGUCGAGUUGUUUGGGAAUGCAGCUCAAAAUGGGUGGUAAAUUCCAUCUAAAGCUAAAUAUUGGCGAGAGACCGAUAGCGAACAAGUACCGUGAGGGAAAGAUGAAAAGCACCUUGGAAAGAGAGUGAAACAGUACGUGAAAUUGUUGAAAGGGAAGCGUUUGAAGUCAG